GAAAGCACAUAGAGUCACGUUAUUACCUGCUGGAUGUGAGAAGCCUAGAGAAGGCACAAAAAGUAAUGGGAGAGAUUUACUAAGCUAAAUGGCGCAUGUUGGAGCAGGGCUAUGACCAGACCUGGGUCCACGCUGAGUGGCAGGCCAUUGUGAGGGAGAUCCGUUCCGAGCUCAAGAGGAAGUUUAAGGGCAAUCACCCUAGGAUGGCCAUAUAAAAAAAAAGGUCGGAUUUGAAGAGGAGGAAUUCAGAGCGGACCAGAGAGAUCCGUGACAGAAAAUGCCCAGGAUCAUUUUCGGGUUGGAUAUAAGUGGAAAACACAUUUUUGCAUCUACAAAAUUUGUCACAUGUACAGUAAAAUAUCCAG